UUUAAAACGUGGCAUAUUCUGGCACUUAGUAAUCUAAAAUUGAACAAAAUUUGUGAUAAUCCCAUUCUCCGAUGGAAUUAAUUAACCAGAUUCGGUGGCAAAAACUAAAACAAUAAUGGUAGGCAAUAAAAGGCACUCAUCAAGAUUAAAGGCUGGAAUAUUAAAACAGAACGCAGAAAACCACAGCUGCAUUAUUCAACUUAAUGUUGUAUUUCGUACGGUUAUAUUGUUAUUCAUUAUUUACGAUGUAAACCGGAUACAGCCCAUAAUGUGCUCAGCUUUUCCAGUAUUUAGAACAUAAAGUUCCUAAUUUAUGUCCAAUUUCUAAUUACCACAACUUACAAAAAAACCCAGGUGUUCCGGAAUGUUGAACAAUCAAAAAGAAAAAUGGCCCCAUUCGCAUCAUACAUUCGUGAAAUAAGUGAGCAGUCUCUCCAUUUCAUUAAAAUAAAAACAAUGCAAACGUAUUUACAGAAAACGGGCCAACAAAAGAGCGUCAGUCUGUUCCCUGUUUUCAACUCCGAAAAACAAUAAACUGAUGAAAUCUC